GUUAUUUAUUAGAAAAAUAUAACGAUACUUAUUUAUUACGCAUAUUAUAAUACUUUAUAUAAUUUUACGAUAUCUCUAUUCUAUCGUUUCAAAGAUCUGUUAAUUAACGAUAAAAAAAAUAUCUUCUUUAUAUCUUAAGAGAAGAUAUGUAAGUCCAUUAUGUAGUUUGCUUAAGAAGGUCAGUAGAGAUUUUCUUAUCUGAUGGGAUAAUUGAGGCAGAUUUAUCUACGCACAUGUUCAAGUACGAUGGAGGGAGUUUGCUGGCACAUGGUGCACACAGUCUAAUUUAGGGAACUAAUCGUACAACAUACAUCAUACACAACCUAUAUCACGUAUGAAACGUUAAAAACUGUACGAAUUAUUAUGAUUACACUUCCCUUCAUAUUUAGUGAUAUUAACCUUCAUACAAACAACCUCUUCAAGGAAAAACAAAAUUCUUUUUCGAAAAUGGCACUUCCAAUUCUUCUUAUUCUCACUAUUUAAUUGCUAGCCGUAUCAAGUAACAACGAAAAAAAUAAUAAUAUCUAAACGUUAAGCAGGUCCAUAUUUUUGGGGAUACAAUUAAAAAAGUAAAUCGUCGGUGGAAUAUUGUUUCACCUAUCAAGAAUUUUGGAAGAUAUAAUUAGAAAGGUACAACCUGGGUAGAAAAUUGUACUCCUUAUCGAGCAUUUUUGAAAAUAUAAUUGAGAAAGUGGAAUCUGGAUAGAAAAUUGUUUUACCUACGAAGCAUUAUAAAAAUUGACAGAGCAAGGAAAAUGAGCGACGAACCUACCUACAAACUAAUCUACUUCAAUGCCCGUGGUAGUGCCGAACAUAUACGGUACAUAUUUGCAUAUAUUGGCAUCGAGUAUACCGACGAGAGGAUCCCCCUACAACUCUGGCCUGAAUACAAGGAUUGUAAGCGUGAAGAAUCGAUUUUUACUUUCAUCGUUCAACUCUCAGAUAUCUACCAUUUACUCAAACUUUUCUGUAUAUAAAACUUUCGUUUCACGUGCAGGCUAAACUUACUUAAAGUAAAAUUUCAUACGGAAUAAAGUCGAACUUUUCAUUAAGUUUUGCUUCCGUAAUAUCGUGUUUAUCGAAUACCAACUUAAUUCACUUACGAUUCUCGAAUUUUUGUGUUGCUAUCUUUAUUGUUUUCAAUGAAUCGAAGCAUUUCGAAUAUUUUGAGAAAACCGUAAAUAGGUGACUUAAAAUAGGAAUACAAAAAUACUUCUACGUUUCUCGUUAAAUUAAAAACUUUUUAGGACUUGUCGGAAAAAAAGGAUAAAAAAUUGAAAUCAGUUCGGAAAUGAACAAGAACAUAGCUAAAAAGUCGAAAGAACAAAGCAGACAUAAAAUUCGAUCUUCUGUUGCGACAUUUCUAUCGUAAAUGGUAUAAUAAAAGUUUUACGCAGCAUAGUCUUCGAUAUAAUCUUAUAUGUCGCUUGCAAAUGGAGAAACAAAAAAUCAACGUAAGUCUGUAAAUCAAUCCUGUCGGUGUAAAACACAAAAUUACGUUCGCAAGAGACAUUCGAUUUAUAUUCCUUGCAUUUCAAUUUUCAUUACAAGAACCGUGUACAUUUUCUAAUAUUUUUUCCGUGUUUGGUAUUAUCUUUUAUCCUUGAUUUUAAAAACUUUAGGUUCUUCCCAACAGUCAAAAACACGCGAUACCCUGUCCAUCGUAAUCGUAAGAAAAGAAAAAAAGGAGAAAGAAGACAUUUCUGUAUUUCUUUACUAGGCCAUGUUGAUUAAAACCGAAAUGAUUUCGAUUCAUCUAUUCACAAGAACGCAACGGCCUCGGAAGCUGUGUUGUGAUUUCCUAUCGAUCGUUUCCCUCUACACAGUGUUCAUAUGAGCCAUGUUUGUUCUUAGCAAUGCCUUAUAAAAAGCUGCCUGUGCUGGAGGUAGACGGGAAACCGGUAGCGCAGGCUGACGCUGUGGCGCGAUACUUGGCGAGGAAGUACGAUCUAAUGGGAAGGAACGAAAGGGAUGCGUUGAUAUGCGACGUGCUCGUCGAUACUCUUGAAGAUUUGGAGCAAGGUGAGUAACUGAUGAGAUGACUUUGCAUUUGUCUCACCACAGAGACAGACGUUCAAGAAUUCAUUGUGAAAAGACGGGUACAAACAAGAUACGUAUGUCUUUCCGUUAAGCGAAUGUUACAGUUUGUUUGCAAAAGUCAGUUUUUAGAUUAUAGAAUCGUAGAUAGAAUUUAGAGGAUAGAAACUUUUAGUAGUCACUUUUAGUUUAGUAAAGUCUUAUCGACAAUAAGCAGACUACGUUAUGAUACAACGAUUCCAAAUGAAGAUUUCUAUCGACAUCACGAAUUCGAUGGCUUCCAAAUUUUCUUCUCUGCAAUCUCAGACGCUCAACUGGAAAGAAUCUUUUAGAUCCCCCGACAAACACUCGACUCAGGUUAUCUAUUAUCGUAAUCUUCCUACGGGAUUUUUUUUAACUGCGUUGCGUUAACGAAUAACGGGAUAACAUCACGUUUCUCUCAACGCCUUUCAACGUUCUACAACUUUUAUUCUUUGCAAAUCCCUGUCUCUAUAUGAUAAACGCUGGUUAUCCGCGGGAGGAGCGAGGACAACGAAGUGUUACUCAAUGAUCAAAGACAGGAAGAUCCUGGUACGCGAUAACGUUACUAAUUUCCAAUUACGAUAUGUGUGAUUACGUAACAUCUGCUAUCUGCAUAAUGCGUUAACGAUCCGCGCGUUGAUCGCAUAAAUAUAAAUCGAAGGGAAUGGAAUCGCUCGAAACUCAUGCAACUAUCCGCAGGUGUUUAAAAUCGUGUUUUUACACCGCCAACGUAACGUCACGCCAGUCGAAUCGAAAAAUUAU